AAUCAAUUAUUCCUGGGGCAUCCGAGAGAAAAGAAAAAGGAAAAGACGCGAUAACCGAGAGGGAGAAAGAUCAGGGUUUUCCAACCAAAAUUUGUAGAGGGGAGGCUAAAGAGAGACAGCUUCUGAAAAUGGCACUGAGAGCUGUAGGAAGACUCGUUUCUCAAAGGCUCUCCCAAGGAGCUUCUAGGAACUUUUGUUCGAAUGCAGUACCUUCUAAGAAUGCUCAGGUCAAGUCUAUGGAGCACCAGGGCAGCAACGAGAUUUUGGAGGAACUCGAUGAAGUCACCCGCGAUUGAUGCUACGAAUUUCGAAUUCAGGUCACGGGUAUCAUCAACCAGUGACCUUA